CUGCCGCCGCCGCUGCCGCCGCCGCGGCUACAACAUCUGAAAGUCCUUUUCUGCCGCAGAAGGAAGCGGCGCAGUUUGGAAGCCUUGGCAGGCGCCGAGAGCGCCUCUGAACCCGAGCCUGGGAGGGGAGAGAGAGAAGAGGAGACGCAAAGGGGCUGCUCUUUGGCCCCAUUCCCCGACCUUGGAGGAUUCCUCCCCUACGCCCCCCCCCCCAGGCGGCUGCAGUCCCCCCCACUGAGAACGCGACCUCCUCGCCUGGACUCCCGGCUCCGCGGAUUCGGUCUCCCUGACCAGAGCCCUUUCCACCCCACCCUAGCGCUUCCAGUCCCAACCACUGGAGACCUAGUCGAGCGAAGUGGGGAAAGGGCAGCAAGCACCCAACGAGGGACCCAGAAGAGCCUGAUGGCCCUAAGAACCCCUUGUAGAUUUGUGUAGCUGUUAUGACAGUUUUCCAGCAGGUGGCAGACAAGCAUUUCCAGCUACAAGGCAGCCAAGCCAAAGUACAGAUCAGAAACCAUCUUUCAGACUCCCAGGACAGCGAUCUUUCAGUCUCCCAGCAAGUAGGCCCCCUUCCACUUUCUCCAAGUGUAAACUGUCCAGGUGAUAGGAAGAAGAGAGGGUCUGGAAGCUGAACUUGUAGGGACAGAACACAAAAGUUGCAAACUGACGGCACCUACUGGCAACUAUCAAGACUGCAGAAGAUCUGGAGAGUUCUGACGGGGUGGGGGGCAGGAGGGCCCGGGGACAAGAUUCUGGGAUUCUCUCCCUGCUAUCUCACAGACAAACUGGGGUCUUUUCUGUCUUGGAUAAGGGCAAACAGAGCCAGGCUCUUUACGUCCCCGGGGGACGCCCAGCCUGCACCUGAUUCAGAAAACUUCCCCUAGCUCUAUCCCCCUCCAUCAUCACUGAGGCGCCAACGUAUUGUAUGAACUUGGACCCCACCCCUUGGAGCUGGAAUUGUCCCUAACUAUAAAAUGGAGGUACAUCAUCUCCACCUAUUCUGCCUCUUGAAGCGCUUGUGGGAAUAAAAUGGGAACUGAAAGGAUGGGUUCCAACCCCAAAGCCAGACUUGCCCCCUUGACAGCAAACCUGAGAGAGCUAAAGGUGCUGGGACAUGGAGGAAGGAGUUGCAGGAGAGGCUGGACUGAAGCCAAAAGAAGGACCUGGAAGUGAAGCAUGAGUGCAGGUGAGUAUGGGAAAUCCAGAAAGGCUUCCAGGUAAGACAGGUGCCCAGACCCCUAUCCAUCCACUGGUGUUCACCACCCCCACCGCCAAACAUCAGUGUCUGCGAUAAUUCCAAAGAGGCAGGAAAAUAGACAUAAGUAGAUCAUCGAAGCACCUCCCCACCAUUCAUGCAGCACAUAUUUACUGGACACUGUGCACAGGCUUUGUGCUACAUUCGAGGACCCAGAGCUGGCUGAGAUCACUCCCUGCGCACAAGGAGCUCACUGCCUAGUGAGGGGAGACAGGCAUACAAAUAAAACGAGUCUAAGAAGUGUACAGGUGCCCUGGGAGACAUCCACAUGGGGUGCUGUGGGGACCCAGACACACAAGUGGUCAGUUCUACAUCUGGCGCCUGGAAAGGCUUCAUGGAGAAGGUAACUCUUGAGACAACCAUCUUCCAUGCUAGGGGAAAGAGCAUCAGGCCGACCUGGAUUCUAAUCCCUGCUUUGCCACUGGACUUGAAAAAAGUUACUCUGAGCUUCACUGUCCUUACCUGGAAAAUAGGGCUUUGUGAUAAGAAAGAAAGAAGGAUGGGGAGGGGACAGACAGAAACAGAGGCUUGUGCAAAUUGCCCAGCAUACAGUGAGCACCGUGUGUUUGCUUCUUCCUCUCCUUCUUCUGGAGGCAGGGCCUGUGUUUCCCCAGGCAGACUGGAGGUUCUCAGAGGACUGGGUUUAGUGUCUCCCCCCUGCCUCCCACAGCUUGCUGGUGUCUGGGAGAGGCUACAUAAAGGGCAUAGGAUUUGGAGUCAGAGGACCUGGAUUCAAACUGCAGCACAGCCACUGAAGAGCUGUGUGGCCUUGGACACACUUAAGAUCUUGAAGGGUCAUUUUCAUCCUCUUUUUAUUUUAAUGUUUAUUUAUUUUUGACAAAGCACAAACAGGGGAGGGGCAGAGAGAAAGCGGGAGACAGAGAAUCCAAUGCAGGCUCCACACCAUCAGCGCAGAGCCUGAUGUGGGGAUCGAACUCACGAACCAUGAGAUCAUGACCUGAGCCAAAGUCGGGCACUUAACCGACUGAGCCACCCAGGCGCCCCUUAUCCUCUAUUUUAAAAGGAAAGAAAGAAAGAGAGAUAAUUGGGCUUACCCCACAGGAUGGGUUGCAAGAGAAAACGAGAUAAUGGCCAAGAAAGGGCUUUGGAACCUAAGGAGUGGGCGCCCAGGGCUCUACCAGAAAAAGAACCACUGUGGGGCGCCUGGCUGGCUCAGUCAGAAGAGCAUGCGACUCUUGAUCUCAGGGUUGUGAGUUCCAGCCCUACACUGGAUUCUAAAAGAUAAGAUAAACUUUAAAAAAAAAAGAAAGAAAAGAAAAACAACCUAUGCCUCCCCCUCAGCAUCCUUCUCUGUCCCUAAGCUUCUAGACACCCAGGGCACCAGGAAGAUGCUCCUGAUGGAAGAGUGAGAAAAAUUCCCACUCCCUGCCCACUUCUCCCAGCCCAUACCCUUCCUGGCUUGUUGCUUAGAGUCUCAUUAGCUCCCUUGUUAGUUCAGUUGCAAACUUCUACUGGGUUCAGGCUGGCUUCUUCGAGAAUUGAUAGUCCUGCCCUCAGGGAAACCCCAAUCUCAUGGGCUUGUUCUAGAGAGUAUCUGAUGGAGUAGACAAAAUGCAUAUAAUAUGAGGCGCCUGGGUGGCUCAGUUGGUUAAACAUCCAACUCCAUUUCCGCUCAGGUUGUGAUCUCAAGGUCAUUGAGUCCUGAGUGUCUGUGCUGAGCACUGAGCAUGGAUACUUAAGAUUCUCCCCCUCCCUCUUUUUCUGCCCCUCCCCUGCUCGCAUGCAUUCUCUCAUAUUCCCACCCCCCUCCCUCUCUCAAAAAAAAAUUUUUUUAAGUACUCAUAAUAGGGGUGCCUGGGUGACUCAGUUGAUUAGGCAUCUGACUCUUGAUUUCAGCUCAAGUCAUGAUCUCACAGUUUCAUGAGUUCAAGCCCCAUGUUGGGCUCUGCGCUGACAGAAGAUCCCCUGAGGGAGAUUCUCCUUCUCUCUCUGCCCCUCCCCUGCUCACACUCUAUCUUGCUCAAAAAUAAAUAAUAAAUUUUUAAAAAACUUUUUAAAAAAUACACAUAAUAAUGAAAGCUAACACUUAACACGAGCCAUAUGGUUCUAAGUGCUUCACUCAUGUAGUUCACAACAAUCUCAUGAAGUGGGAGUUAUCAUUGUCCCCCUGUUAAGAUAGGGAAGGGAAACUAAAGCACAGAAAGGUAUGUAACAUACUCAAGGUCACACAACAAGCAAGUAGAAAAACAGGGGUCUGACCCCAUGCAGUCUGGCUCCAGAGUCUGUAUGAUUAACUCUCAUGUUUUACAGCCUUCCAAACAGCUGUCAGAAGUACUCUAAACAAUUGCCGAGGGAAAAAGACUAUGGUACAGAGUGCACGAUGGGUGCAGAGAAGGAGAGUGGAAGUGGCAUUGGCAUGGAAAUGGACCCCAGAACUCCCCAGAGCUUUGGCUUCCCAACCCCUCCCUGGCGCCCUGGACUUCCCACUGUGCCUGCCCGGAAUAGGGGGGCUCAACUCCCUUCCAGGUUGGCUGAUGUCCAGACCCCAGGUAGAGCAUCCUCCAGGGGGCGCUGCAGGUGUGGUCUGAGCAAUGGCACAUCAGUACAGCUGCCUCCUUGUGCACCGGGGCCCCAUACUUGGAGAGAACAGAUCAGGAGAGCUAGGAUCUCCAUAGAGACCCCAUAGUACAGAGGGAAGUCUGGUUCAGAGGCUAGAGCCUCGGUCCUUCCCUCAGGACACGUAGCUCGAGAAAAGGACACCCAGACGGAGGAUGGGGAGUGGAGAGGAGAGCCCAUCUGCAGUUGAGCUGGCCAGGAUCUGGUUUCAUAUCUCCAGUCCAACCAGCUUGGCCACUUGCCAGCUUUGUGGCCACUUCUCCUUCCUCAGCUUCAGUUUUAUCAUGUGUAAAAUGGGGGAGGGGAACUCCUUGAAUUGUGAGCCCCCUCCCAGCUUGGGCAGUCUAGGAAUCUAGAACCUCUGGAGUCUUUUUGCCUGGUCCCAGGCCCUAUGCCGGCAUGGCUCCCAACCCCCCAGAGUUUGCAGUUUCCAAGCCAACUGACACCCAUGGAAUCACUUUCUCAUUGGUCAGAGAAUGUGUAGGAGACAAGCCAAGUGAAUGCUGUUGAGUCCUAUGAGAGUUCUGUCACUGCCCAGAGAGGUGACGAGGCUCACUCGAGGGCAUACAGCUAGUAAUUAAUAGAGCCAAGACUUAAGCCAAAUAUAUUUACUACCCGCUACAGACAUAGUGCCCCGAGCCAUGCUUUCUCUGUUGCCAGAGCACCACCAGUGAGCUAAGGGCUAAGGACUCAAGGAAGGUUGGGGUAGGAGGAGACAAAGGAGGUACAACCUGGGAGAAUCCAUGCAGAUGAUACUUGCAAAAGUACAGACACAGAGGGGACUCUGGGAGGAGAGUGACACAUGUGAGGAAGGGGAAAUUAUUUGCCCUGCCUCCCCUGACACUUGUUGAGUCAAAGAGCAGGGUAUCUGCCUGCCAGGGUGCCUCUUGGCCUGAUAGAUCAGAAGCCCAGAAUCAGAGCAGACCCCGUGUCCUUCUCCCACAGGACCUCCAGGCCUCUAGGCCCUGCCUCCUACUCCCCCAAGCCUGGGGAACAGAGUGCUACCUUCCUCUUAGAAAACUCCAGAGAGACUCUACCAAGGGGCUGCUGAACCCAGACUGACCCUUCAAACGGGUUCUAGCUUUGAGAGACCCCACAGAGGAGUCCUCAGACUUAGCAAAACCCCAGAAAGAGGCCCUGGGAUCCAGAGAAAUCCCCAAUACCCAUAUUUACAGUCGCUCUUAUUCCCUGGAUGCACACCUCCUCUUUCCACACCAGCACUGGGAGUUCACAAAUAUCCCCAGUCAUGCCUUCUCUAUAUUCCCAGACGUCCCUGCCGGCCCUCUCAUCCCAUGCCAAGGGCCAGAAUCUCCGCACACCCACCUUUAUGCCUCAUCCUUUCUGCCUCCGCACCCCUGUCGACUUCACCCCAACCCUUCCUCUUUGCUUACCCAGAAGAACAUUCUGGCCCAAGGGGCCCCCGAAACUUGGUGGUAACCAGGCAUCCUAACCCCACCGGGAAAAGUGGGGAAGGGGCUUCCAGGAAAGAUGAGUGUAUUGUAAGUGAGGAAGGGGAAAGGGAGCAACUGUGGCCUCCAUUUCCUCAUCUGCAAAAUGGGAAUGAUACCACACAUACCUCAUAGGGUUGUUAUGACAAGCUGUACAGACUGCUUGUUUUUACCUCAUUUAGUAAAUAGAUAUGGAAAAACAUACUGAGAUACCACUCUAUUCCCACCAGAUUGGUGAAAAAAAUUUAAUGUUUAUAUAUUUAUUUUGAGAGAGAGAGCGUGCACACCUCAUGCGCACAGAGAGAGCAGGGGAAAGGCAGAGAGCAAGGAAGAGAGAGAGAAUCCCAAGCAUGCUCUGCCCUCUCAGCACAGAGCCCGACGUGGGACUCUAUCUCACGAACCAUGAGAUCAUAACCUGAGCCGAAAUCAAGAGUUGCAUGCUCAACCGACUGAGUCACCCAAGUGCCCCAGAUCAGUAAGAAUUUUAAAGACUGAGUACCAAGUGUGGAGUUAGGGGACUGUCAUCUAAUAUCAGUAAGAAAACAAAUGUGUACAACCAACAAUUCUACUCUGAGAUAUGUACCCACUAGAAGUGUGUGUGUGUGUGUGUGUGUGUGUGUGUGUAUUCCAAAAUACAUAUAUGAGUGUUCAUAGCAGCAUUAUUCAGAAUAGCCAAACACUGGCAUCAGUAGUAGAAUGGAUAAAUCUAUGGUUGAAUGAACUAUUGCUAUACCAACAACAUAGAUGAAUCACAAAGUGAGCAAGAGAUUACUAUUGUAGGAUUCUAUUUAUAAAGAAUUCAAAAAGAGGCAAAACUAAUCUAUGGUGUUAGAAAUCAGGAUAGGAGUUACUUUUGGGGAGAAUGGUGGAAGUAGUUACUAGAAAGGGCCUCACAGGGUACAGGUGAUGUUUAUUAUUUAGUUACAUGGUGUAUGCACUUUAUGAACAUCCAUUGAGCUAAACAUUUAUUUCUGCACUUUUCUGUAUGUGUGUUGUACUUUAAUUUUUUUAAGAAACAACUUUUUUGUUUGUUUGUUUUUUAAGAGACUGCUGGCUCUCAAGUAGGCUGCUUGGACUGGAUUCUUUUUUUUUUUUUUUUAACAUUUAUUUAUUAUUGAGAGACAGAGAGCAUGACCAGGGGAGGGGCCAAGAGAUGGAGAGACACAGAAUCUGAAGCAGGCUCCAGGCUCUGAGCUGUCAGCACAGAGCCCGACACGGGGCUCGAACUCACAAACCAUGAGAUCAUGACCUGAACCGAAGUCAGACGCUUAACAGACUGAGCCACCCAGGCACCCCUGCCUGGACUGGAUUCUUGGCAGUAGGUUUCGGAUAAGUGAGCACACCUCUCUACGCCUCAGCGUCCUCAUCUUUUGCAUUAAGUGACCCUUAUGUAGGGUGGCUACUGUGAUUAAAUGAGUGAGAAUGUGUAAAAUGCUUACAACAGUGCCAGCUACAUAUUAAGUACCCAGUGAGUGUUGGUCAUUAGCCAUGACCAGCCAAGUGAGUGAGAUUAAGAGCCUGGAGCCAAAAUGCCUGCACUAAAACCUGGAUUUGCCAUUUACUUGCUUUGUGACUUUGGCCAAGUGACAUCCUCCCUCUUAUCCUUAAAUACCCUCAGUUGUAAAGGAGGGCUAAUGGCAGCCCAGUCUGAUAGGGUUGUUUGAGAACCUACAGAAACAUUACACAGAGGCACUUAGCACAGUGCCCAGAGUAAGGCUCAAUACGUGUCAGCUGUUAUUAUUAUUGAUCACCAUGGUAACCUUAUUAACCCAUUUUAUAGAUGGUGUUCCAGGUAGUAAAAAGACUGGCUUAAGGUCACAUGCAACUAAAUGUGAUUUAAACCCAGCUGUGUGAUAAUGGAACCCAGGCUCCUACUGACUUGCCCAUACCACCUCCAGAGGCGCCAUAGCCUUGGAGACGUUUGCCCAAACCCAAAUAGCACCUCUUCCUCCUGCCAGGCUGCCCUCUGCAACUGAAGCUCUUGUCUCCAGUAGCUCCAGCUGUCAGGGUUCUGGGCGACCCAGAGGCUGUUGUGCCUUCCCUGCCUGGCAGGAUCUAGCACCCAUCUGACAAUUCUGGUGCCCUCAUUUGGGGUGCUGGGGAUGUAGCCCAGAGCCUAGAUCUAGCCCCGGCAGUGGGAAGAGAGAAUCUCAGAGAGAAGCCACGUUGGCCCCCAGGGCUUCUGGUUGUCAGCGGCCUCUUCUACUGCAGUCUUUGAUUUUCUUUGUCCUGUGCGAAGUAGGGGUAGUCCUAAAGAUGGCUGAUGAGGACUGGAGACAACUGGAGGGCAAAGGGAUAGGACUGAGGGGGCCCAGAAAGAAGGGCCAACCUGCCUGGAACCCCUAAUCCACAUAGCCCCCACCUUCUCCUCUCCUGAAACCUGGAUCCCUCCCAGCCUCACCCCCUCAGUCCUCCCGGUGUCCAGAGGCUUGAUGCUUGGAGCCAGUAAUCCUCAAGAUCUGUGCAGUCUGUUCCUCACCCCCACCCAGUCUUGAUGAUCUAAAAAGCAGCAGAAGUUGGGCCCCAAGCCAGGGAAAGCCAGACAGCCCGGAAUGGAGAAAAAUUUGGCCUCAGGUUGAAGUACACAGGCUGUGGGGCAGGGAGCUCUGGUCUUGCAGUCAUAAGCCAUGUACUGUGGGCUUGUCACUUCACCACAAUGAUCCUCAAUUUCUUCAUCUGUAAAAUGGGGAUGUCAGUCCCUACUCACUCUGCAGGGCUGCUAAGGAAGAUCAGAUGAGGCUACCUAUAUAAGUGUAAGGACAUAGAUACCUGAAAGCAGGUCACCAAUUAGUGGUGUCAUUAUUGUGACCUUUUUUGAUUCUAAGAUUCUAUGACGCUUUGAAGUAGAAGGAUAGAAAGAAGGGGAAAGGGGCGCCUGGGUGGCGCAGUCGGUUAGGCAUCCGACUUCAGCCAGGUCACGAUCUCGCGGUCCGUGAGUUCGAGCCCCGCGUCGGGCUCUGGGCUGAUGGCUCAGAGCCUGGAGCCUGUUUCCGAUUCUGUGUCUCCCUCUCUCUCUGCCCCUCCCCCGUUCAUGCUCUGUCCCAAAAAUAAAUAAACGUUGGAAAAAAAAUUAAAAAAAAAAAAGAAAGAAAGAAG